AUUGAACGCUGGCGGCAUGCCUUACACAUGCAAGUCGAACGGCAGCGGACCUUCGGGUGCCGGCGAGUGGCGAACGGGUGAGUAAUAUAUCGGAACGUACCUUCAGGUGGGGGAUAACGUAGCGAAAGUUACGCUAAUACCGCAUAUUCUGUGAGCAGGAAAGCAGGGGAUCGCAAGACCUUGCGCUGAUUGAGCGGCCGAUAUCAGAUUAGCUAGUUGGUGAGGUAAAGGCUCACCAAGGCGACGAUCUGUAGCGGGUCUGAGAGGAUGAUCCGCCACACUGGAACUGAGACACGGUCCAGACUCCUACGGGAGGCAGCAGUGGGGAAUAUUGGACAAUGGAGGCAACUCUGAUCCAGCCAUGCCGCGUGGAGGAUGACUGCCCUCUGGGUUGUAAACUCCUUUUGUACAGGAAGAAACCUCCUCAUUUAUGAGUGAGCUGACGGUACUGUAAGAAUAAGCACCGGCUAACUCCGUG
rnacentral:rRNA from 1 species